rnacentral:misc_RNA from 1 species
GGGAGAUUUGCUCACUUUGCUGCUAAUUCAGCAAUUCUUGAAGCUAUGCCUGUUGAUACUGAGACGAUACAUAUAGUGGAUUUCGACAUGGGGGAAGGUAUCCAGUGGCCUCCGAUGCUUGAGGCCUUGGCAAGGCUACAAAAGGGAGUGAAAUUGACAACAAUAAAAUGGGAAAAUGAGGAUUGCGAUCGAGCUCCUCUAAUGUGGAGUUUCGAAGAGGCAAAAAGGAGACUACUCGAUCAUGCAAGAGGGUUUGGUCUAAUGUUGAAGGUGGAAGAGAUGGCAAUUGAGCAUCUAGUGAGUGAGAUCAAGAGAAGAAAGAAAAGAGGUAAUAGAAAAGAAUUUUUAGUAUUUAAUUGCAUGAUGGGACUUCCACACAUGGGAAGAAUAAGAAGCAGAAAGGCAGUGGAAGAAUUUCUAAGGGUAGCCAAAGAAUCGAUGGCGAAUUCUGUCAACAAGGGUAUCAUAACUAUUGGAGAUGG